rnacentral:lncRNA from 1 species
AAGAAGAUGACGCGUGAAAGAAGGAGAAAAAAAAAGAAGAAGGCUGUGCGUGAAGUAGCAGGAAGAGAGGGAGAGCGGAUCGGCUUCGGAGAAUUCGAACGGGAACGGGGAGCUGCACUCAAUCCAAAGGUAAGGGUGGGAUUUUGAGUUUCUAAUGGAAUUAUGGUGAAUGAUAUUAGGGAUUUGGGAGAUGUAGAAUUGUUUCUGUUAAUGAUGUUCUGGAAAUCUGAUUUGAAAUCCAUUGAUUUUGGGAUUUUCUUUUGUGUGAUUGAACGGGGUGAGGGCAGAACCAUAGUAUGCUAGGAGUUUUGGGUUGAGGUUCCCUUUUGAUUUUCUUUAUGAUCACGCACAUAAGGACUGUUAGGUAGCAUGCUUGUUAGGUUUUGUGUCUUGUUUGAUGAUAAACAACUUUAAUCACUUAUUUUGGAACAUAAAACGGACUGGUCAUUUUCCUGGUAUGAACCGUGACUUUCGAAGCCUUUUAGAGCCUGUUUAGAGUUCUCGAAUAAUGUUGCGUUGAACUGAGAAAGUGUAGGCCUUUGAAAGAGAUUUCUGGAAUGAUAUGGUACAUAAUUUUUGGUUGAGAGACGAGGUCUGUAAGUUCAGUUUAGUAAACCAUGUUUUUCUGCGCUCUGUAUCUGCUAUCUCUCCCAAUGAACUUCAACGUGAUUUUUCACCUUGUUAAUGUGCCCAGAAAAUUCUUUGAUGAACUAGAAAGAGGUGGAGUUUUCUGUUAGCUUUUCAAAUUGAGGUCAUUUGUAAUUUUUGAACAAGUAACGAAUCUUGUAGGUUAUCUCUACUGAAAUAUGUUUCUGCUGUGAGCGUAAUUCCUGAACUGCUAUAUGAUUUAUGCACGGAUUUGAUGAUGCUGUGCUGCUGUCCAAAAUUUCCUGGGCUGGACAGUACACUUCGAGACCUGUUUUCGCCCAGUUAGAGUGCUCAAAUGAGGAUGUGAUCAACUAAGAAAUUGUAGGACUUUAAGUUAGCUUUCUAGGCAUAUAAAAUACAUGAUUUUUGGUUCAGUAACGAAUUCAGGAGACCGCUUUUAGUGGCUGGUGUUCCUGCUGUUUUUCCAGAUUACGGAAAUUAUGAUUGUUUUGGAAAUAUAAUUAGAUUUAGCUUACAUGUUGUAUGAAAGUUAAUGUCUUUAUGUGCCAUGUAUUAGCUAUGAGGAUGAUGCAUGUGGCUGAACACCUUUAGCAUGAAAUCCAUAAUUUAUUUACCAUAUGUGAUAGCUUCUUCCAUGAUUGCAUGCUUAAGUGAGUUGUUUCAUUGAUUUGGUGCCAAAAUUGCCUAAGAUGUCAGGGUAAUUGUAUAGUUGAUAAAAAUGCAUGUGUGCUGAAUUGUGUUGUUUUAAGCGAUGUUAGUGAUGUAGUGAUAUAGGCGCAAUGCCUCAUGUCGAAGUGAUGAUUAUGAGAUGUAUACGUCCUUUUGAGUCGCAUAGCAUCUGCAUACUCUGUGAUGGCCUGUAUUGGCGAUUUGUGAUGAAGGCUUAUGCCUUGUGCCUCCAAUAAUUGGCAAUUAGUGAUGAGGGCUGAAGCCUUGUUGGUACCACAUACAUAUGCAUAGUCAUUGUUGUGUUCGAAUUGUAUCCGAGUCGAUGAUGUUAUUUGUGACUGUUUUAGUAACUGAGCUAUAUGAAUAUAAAAAGAAGUGGUGUGGCAUUAAUCUAGCAUAUUUAUUGCCAUUCUUAUAUUUAUGAUACUCGAUAUCUCACCCCUUCUGUUUGAAUGUUACCCUUGUUGGUAACGUGCAGGUAAUCAGGAGGAGUAGUCUAUAGCCUUUAUUUCGAGUUGGAGUCCUUGCUCUGAUACGUAGCACUCGGGGGGGAAAUGGACGCUUGUUUUCCUUCUGUUAUAAUUUGAAUUAAGUUGUUAUUUGAGAAGUUGUUUCUGUUUUAAGUUGUGGGCAAGAUACUAUGUUUUCUUUAAGUUUUAAAGACAUUGGAUUCGCUGCAUAACUAUUUGUCAAAGUGAACUAGUUCAAAGACUAAUUAACUGUCACAAGAGCAUUUAAGUUUAUUUAUGAGUUCAUCUCAAAGUUUAUGUGCU